rnacentral:rRNA from 1 species
UCAGGACGAACGGCCUGGCGGCGUGCCUAAUACAUGCAAGUCGAACGGCUUUUCUAUGGAAGCUUGCUUCCACUGAGAAGAUAGUGGCGAACGGGUGAGUAACACUGGGGUAACCUGCCCAUAAGAGGGGGGAUAACAUCCGGAAACGGGUGCUAAUACCGCAUAGUUUUCUUGAUCGCAUGAUCGGGAAAGGAAAGACGGCCUUUGUGCUGUCGCUUAUGGAUGGACCCGCGGCGUAUUAGUUAGUUGGUGAGGUAACGGCUCACCAAGACGAUGAUACGUAGCCGACCUGAGAGGGUGAUCGGCCACAUUGGGACUGAGACACGGCCCAAACUCCUACGGGAGGCAGCAGUAGGGAAUCUUCCGCAAUGGACGAAAGUCUGACGGAGCAACGCCGCGUGAGUGAAAGAAGGUUUUCGGAUCGUAAAACUCUGUUGUCAGAGAAGAACAAGUUGGAGAGUAACUGCUCCAGCCUUGACGGUAUCUGACCAGAAAGCCACGGCUAACUACGUGCCAGCCGCGGC